rnacentral:snoRNA from 1 species
AUUCCAUGAUGAGGACAUUCUAGGAUGUGAUCUUGAAAGCGCUCCCAGCCCUUGGGACUGUCUCAUCAUUAUGUUGCUAAAAACUUGAAAUUUUCCCUCGCAGAGC